CCGAAACUCCGCACAGCUUCAAAAUCACAUUUCCCUUUACCUUUCCCUCCCCAUUUCCUUUUUCUCUUGCGACAGUUCUCAGGCUAUAUGAGAAACGAAGCCAUGUCUUCCACUCGUAGUGGUCGUCAUCGUCGUCUUUCUUCAUCUUCUUCUGUACCAUCAAAUUCAUUGCUGAAGUCUGUAAAGGAACCCCCACACAACAUUUUUCCCUCUAAGGACGAGUUCCUGAGACUCGUGGCGGUGCUCGCCAUCGCUUCCUCUGUCGCUGUUUGUUGCAACAUCUUCUUCACUCUAAUCAACCGCCAACCAAAGCCCUUCUGCGAUUCCCACAACUCUCACUCCCCAGAUUCUAUCUCCGAUUUCUGUGAGCCUUGUCCAAGUAAUGGAGAAUGUAACCAAGGCAAGUUGGAAUGUGUUCGUGGUUAUAGAAAGCGUGGGAAGUUGUGUGUAGAAGAUGGAGAUAUUAAUGAAACAGCUAAGAAACUUUUGAAGUGGAUAGAAAUUCAUCUUUGUGAAGCACAGGCUCAAUUUUUAUGCGACGGACUUGGGGCAGUUUGGGUCAGAGAGGAUGAUAUAUUGAAGGAGUUAGAUGGACAUGAUUUGGUGCAAAAUGUUGGCUUGGACAAUGGCACCUUUAUGUAUACAAAACAAAGGGCAAUGGAUGCUGUUGGUAGAUUAUUGGAGACAAGGACAGAUCCUCAUGGGAUCAAAGAGUUGAAGUGCCCUGACUCAUUAGCAGAGCAUUACAAGCCAGUUGCCUCAUUGCCUGUUGUAUCCGUCAGUGGCUCUCUGAGCAUGCUCUUAUAGUUUUUCCAGUUUCCACACUGCUUAUUGGAUGCACAGUGUUAUUCUGGAAAGUUCGUCAGAGACAAUAUAUAUCAAGUAGAAUUGAAGAACUUUAUCACCAGGUUUGUGAAAUACUUGAAGAUAAUGCGUUGUUGUCAAAGAGAGAAAAUGGGGAAUGUGAACCUUGGGUUGUUGCUUCUAGGUUAAGAGAUCAUCUUCUUCUGUCAAGAGAGAGGAAAAACCCCGUGUUAUGGAAAAAGGCCUUACUACUUGGAGUUGCUACAAUGAAUCAUACCAAAGAGCAUUAGCUCCAAUGACACCUCCUUCCCUUAUAAAGAGCAAGGUGGAGGGAGAGAUUGUGAACUCAAAACCCAUCAGGUAGAAGAACUGGUUCAAGAAGAUUCCCGAGUAGAUCGUUAUCCAAAGUUGGUGAAGGGCGAGUCAAAAGUAGUAUGGGAAUGGCAAGUUGAAGGCUCUUUGAGCUCUUCAAAGGUGAGAAAAAAAGUAGAGGCAAACAAAUUGAAGUCCACUGAAGGCUUCAGCAUAAAUUCUGAUCAAUUACACCGCACAUUGAAGGCUGAGCCCAAGGCAUUGAUUUUUUGACGUGGCGUAUUUCUCAAAAAGUUGGGGUCCUCUCUUAAUUCCUUGCGCUGAAACAACUUGGAGCCUAGCUCAUUGUUUUAUACUGGUAAGGGGUUGAACAUGAUGCCUGAUCAAUGGAAAGUUUGUAGAAGGGUUCAAUUGCGAUAUUAUUAAUUGAAAGUUCAUAACCUUCUGAUUUAAGAGUAUAGAGCUUCUAUCAGGUUUAGAGAUGAAUUCAGAAGGUCUGGUUAUCUCCUGUACAUCUGUGCUCUUUUUGGGUCCUGUGAAUGGUUGAAUAAAUACAAGGUUUCAGAUUAUCUUUUCAA